UACGAAGGGUGCAAGCGUUACUCGGAAUUACUGGGCGUAAAGCGUGCGUAGGCGGUUUGUUAAGUCUGUCGUGAAAGCCCUGGGCUCAACCUGGGAAUUGCGAUGGAUACUGGCGAGCUAGAGUACGGUAGAGGAUGGUGGAAUUCCCGGUGUAGCGGUGAAAUGCGUAGAGAUCGGGAGGAACACCCGUGGCGAAGGCGGCGAUCUGGGAAGAUACUGACGCUGAGGUGCGAAAGCGUGGGGAGCAAACAGG
rnacentral:rRNA from 1 species